UAUACUGCUGCUGUGAACAACUUAGUGUACAAUACAUUGGGGGAAGAUUCUGCCCUGGAGGGUAAACAAUGAUUUUCCAAAAUAUUUUAAGCAAAAUUUUAUAAUAUAAUAAAGAUAUAUAUAGUAUGUCUCAACACAAAAAAGACAUACUCAGGAAACACAUGGAAACGAUUUCCACACAAAGUCUUAGUAAAUAUAACUAAGCAUAGGUUUACAAGGCACCAAGGAUUAUUCUCAUUACAAACUUUUCACCGGUGAAGACUGCAUUUGUUGAUAAAACGGAUAAGCCAACAUGAAGAUGUUGGAAGCUGGAAGAAAAGCCAUUUUGAAGCUGGGAAAAGAGAGAAAAUCAAUCAAAGGCAUUGCACAAGCAUUGGGCAUAGCAAUACAACAAUUUGGAAUGUCCUGAAAAAGAAAGAAACCACUGGUGUACCGAGCAACAGACACUAAUUGGGCUGGUCAAGGAAAACAACAGCAGCUGAUGUCAGAAACAUUGUGAGAGCUGUGAAGAAAACCCCAAAAACAACAGUCAGUGACAUCAUCAACAACCUCCACAGGGCAAGAGUGAAGGCAUCACAAUUCACCACUGAAGACUUCGAGAGCAUAAAUAUAGAGGACAUAUCACAAGAUACAAACCACUCAUCAGCAGUAAGAAUCGGAAAGCCAGAUUGGAAUUCGCAAAAAAGAAACCUCUACCAAAGUGUGGAGAAAGCCUACAAUCUCAUCUGUGAAACAAAAGACUUUAUCAGGGAGGAAAAGUGGAUGCAAAAAAAGUGCAUUUCACCUCUUGAAGAGGAGACUAAAGGGACAACGCCCCCACCACCAAAAAAAAAAAAAAAAAAAAAAAACAGAAAAACCCAAGAAUUGAAAGAGACUAAAAGACUGAAAGGGCAUCUUAGAAGAAGAAACCAACCAUUUGGUAAAAAUCACGGAGUUACAAACUUAAUGACGUUAUUGCAAGAAAGGAAUCUGCAACCAAAUAUUAAGUACUGUUUACUUUAAUUUACUUCAAGACUUAUCUGUUCCUAUACGUUUGCUCACCUAAAAAUUGUGUGGUCUGAUACAAAAGGUUCUAUUUUUUAUGUUGUUUAACACCUCUAGAUGAAAAUACCAGGAAAUAAGAUCUGGAAUCCUAAACUCUCGUCUCAUCUCCAUCUUAUGAUCUCAAACGUCUUUGGUGUGUAGCGCAAACAAAUGAAUUGGCCUUGCCGUUCCAAUAGUUUCGGAGGGGACUGUAUAUGGAAGAAUCAAGGCUUUUAGUCCGGGCUAUUCAUUUUUAGUCAUACUGACUUCAGCUAAACAAAAGUUUUCAUUUGUUAUACAUGUUUAGAUGUAACGUGCUUCACGGUGGUGUGGCACACGCUAUAUGGCCAAUAGUUUGUGGACACCUGUUGCCAAAAAGCUGAAAGCUCACAAUUGUCUUCACUGCAACUAACAGACCCAAACCUGUUCCAGCAUGACAAUGCCCCUGUGCACAGAGUGAGGUCAUGGUUUGCCAAGUUUGGAGAGCAAGAUCUCAAGUGUACUGCACUCAAGCUCAAUCCCAAUGAACACCUUUGGGAUGAACUGGAACACUGACUGCAGCGCAGGUCUCU
ensembl:lncRNA